CCUACGAGAGGCAGCAGUAGGGACUCUUCCACAAUGGACGAAAGUCUGAUGGAGCAACGCCGCGUGGGUGAAGAAGGGUUUCGGCUCGUAACGCUCUGUUGGUAGUGAAGAAAGAUAGAGGUAGUAACUGGCCUUUAUUUGACGGUAAUUACUUAGAAAGUCACGGCUAACUACGUGCCAGCAGCCGCGGUAAUACGUAGGUGGCAAGCGUUGUCCGGAUUUAGUGGGCGUAAAGCGAGUGCAGGCGGUUCAAUAAGUCUGAUGUGAAAGCCUUCGGCUCAACCGGAGAAUUGCAUCAGAAACUGUUGAACUUGAGUGCAGAAGAGGAGAGUGGAACUCCAUGUGUAGCGGUGGAAUGCGUAGAUAUAUGGAAGAACACCAGUGGCGAAGGCGGCUCUCUGGUCUGCAACUGACGCUGAGGCUCGAAAGCAUGGGUAGCAAACAGGAUUAGAUACCCGAGUAGUC
rnacentral:rRNA from 1 species